UACGUAGGGGGCAAGCGUUGUCCGGAUUUAUUGGGCGUAAAGAGCGUGUAGGCGGCCAGGUAGGUCUGCUGUGAAAACUCGAGGCUCAACCUCGAGACGUCGGCGGAAACCAUCUGGCUAGAGUCCGGAAGAGGCGAGUGGAAUUCCUGGUGUAGCGGUGAAAUGCGCAGAUAUCAGGAGGAACACCCAUUGCGAAGGCAGCUCGCUGGGACGUUACUGACGCUGAGACGCGAAAGCGUGGGGAGCAAACAGG
rnacentral:rRNA from 1 species